rnacentral:rRNA from 1 species
UGCAGUCGAGGGGCAGCAUGGUCUUAGCUUGCUAAGGCCGAUGGCGACCGGCGCACGGGUGAGUAACACGUAUCCAACCUGCCGUCUACUCUUGGACAGCCUUCUGAAAGGAAGAUUAAUACAAGAUGGCAUCAUGAGUCCGCAUGUUCACAUGAUUAAAGGUAUUCCGGUAGACGAUGGGGAUGCGUUCCAUUAGAUAGUAGGCGGGGUAACGGCCCACCUAGUCUUCGAUGGAUAGGGGUUCUGAGAGGAAGGUCCCCCACAUUGGAACUGAGACACGGUCCAAACUCCUACGGGAGGCAGCAGUGAGGAAUAUUGGUCAAUGGGCGAGAGCCUGAACCAGCCAAGUAGCGUGAAGGAUGACUGCCCUAUGGGUUGUAAACUUCUUUUAUAAAGGAAUAAAGUCGGGUAUGGAUACCCGUUUGCAUGUACUUUAUGAAUAAGGAUCGGCUAACUCCGUGCCAGCAGCCGCGGUAAUACGGAGGAUCCGAGCGUUAUCCGGAUUUAUUGGGUUUAAAGGGAGCGUAGAUGGAUGUUUAAGUCAGUUGUGAAAGUUUGCGGCUCAACCGUAAAAUUGCAGUUGAUACUGGAUAUCUUGAGUGCAGUUGAGGCAGGCGGAAUUCGUGGUGUAGCGGUGAAAUGCUUAGAUAUCACGAAGAACUCCGAUUGCGAAGGCAGCCUGCUAAGCUGCAACUGACAUUGAGGCUCGAAAGUGUGGGUAUCAAACAGGAUUAGAUACCCUGGUAGUCCACACGGUAAACGAUGAAUACUCGCUGUUUGCGAUAUACGGCAAGCGGCCAAGCGAAAGCGUUAAGUAUUCCACCUGGGGAGUACGCCGGCAACGGUGAAACUCAAAGGAAUUGACGGGGGCCCGCACAAGCGGAGGAACAUGUGGUUUAAUUCGAUGAUACGCGAGGAACCUUACCCGGGCUUAAUUGCAGAUGAAUUACGGUGAAAGCCGUAAGCCGCAAG